rnacentral:rRNA from 1 species
CCUACGGGAGGCAGCAGUGGGGAAUCUUGCGCAAUGGGCGAAAGCCUGACGCAGCAACGCCGCGUGCGGGAUGAAGGCCUUCGGGUUGUAAACCGCUUUCAGCAGGGAAGAAAAUGACGGUACCUGCAGAAGAAGCCCCGGCCAACUACGUGCCAGCAGCCGCGGUAACACGUAGGGGGCGAGCGUUGUCCGGAUUUAUUGGGCGUAAAGAGCUCGUAGGCGGUUCGGUAAGUCGGGUGUGAAACCUCCAGGCUCAACCUGGAGACGCCACCUGAUACUGCUGUGACUCGAGUCCGGUAGGGGAGUGCGGAACUCCUGGUGUAGCGGUGAAAUGCGCAGAUAUCAGGAAGAACACCAGCGGCGAAGGCGGCACUCUGGGCCGGUACUGACGCUGAGGAGCGAAAGCGUGGGUAGCAAACAGGAUUAGAUACCCUAGUAGUC